GAUGAAGAACGUAGCGAAAUGCGAUAAGUAAUGUGAAUUGCAGAAUUCCGUGAAUCAUCGAAUCUUUGAACGCACAUUGCGCCCCCUGGUAUUCCGGGGGGCAUGCCUGUCCGAGCGUCAUUGCAACCUUCAAGCGCGGCUUGUGUGUUGGGUCUCGUCCCCCGUGGACGGGCCCGAAAGGCAGUGGCGGCGUCCCGACAUGGUGCCCGAGCGUAUGGGAAUCCUCUUCCGCUCGAAUCGGCCCAUGCGGCGCUGGUCGUAACCAAAUUUUUUACCGGUUGACCUCGGAUCAGGUAGGGAUACCCGCUGAACUUAAGCAUAUCAAAAGCGGAGGA
rnacentral:misc_RNA from 1 species